GAUGAACGCUAGCGACAGGCUUAACACAUGCAAGUCGAGGGGCAUCACGGGUAGCAAUAUCUGGUGGCGACCGGCGAACGGGUGAGUAACGCGUAUGCAACCUACUUGUAAACGGGAGACAACCUGGAGAAAUUUGGGCUAAACUUCCAUGAGGCAUUAUUACUGCAUGGUAAUGAUGUCAAACGUAAGGUUUACAAAUGGGCAUGCGUAUGAUUAGCUAGUUGGUAGGGUAAUAGCCUACCAAGGCGACGAUCAUUAGGGGUUCUGAGAGGAAGGUCCCCCACAUUGGAACUGAGAUACGGUCCAAACUCCUACGGGAGGCAGCAGUAGGGAAUAUUGGACAAUGGGCGCAAGCCUGAUCCAGCCAUGCCGCGUGAGUGAAGAAGGCCCUCGGGUUGUAAAGCUCUUUUGUCCGGAAAGAAAAGCGCCGGGUUAAUACCCUAGUGUCCUGACGGUACCGGAAGAAUAAGCACCGGCUAACUUCGUG
rnacentral:rRNA from 1 species